rnacentral:lncRNA from 1 species
UAAACAUUUUUAUUUCUAGUUCAUAUUACACCAAAAACUUAGUACUUAAAUUGAUUAAUAGGGAAUUUGUUUUAUUUCCUUUUAGUGAUUGCCAUCAAAGUCCUGCUUAAUAGAUUUCUAACCAGAAAAAAAUCAUUUCACAAAGGACUUAUAAUUCUUAACCAGUGUACAUAACUUAAAAAAAUAUAUGUAAAUUGAAGGGUCUUAUGGGUAUCUUGUGAAACCAUACAUCAUACCUUUGGGACCUCUCAAAUAACAAUAAUUUUACAGUUUCUUUUUUUUUUCUUUUUUUUCAGAUUCUCCAUUCUUAAACAAUUGGAAGUGUUUUGACUAGACAUGAGUAUAAACAGAAAAUAGAAAGAAUUUGUGUAAUGUCAAAUACAAGUUAACCUACAACUUCCAAUCUUGUUGAAAAUGGAGAAUCUUUACAUAUUUUUUUAUUAUUUUUUUUUUU